GAAAAAUCAGUGUUGUAGAGCUGUUUGCAAGGUACCUAAUUGUUUGAAAUGAUUCUCAAUUGGUCCCCUCCAAGCAGCUCCAUCGCAUUCGAUUG
rnacentral:pre_miRNA from 16 species